rnacentral:lncRNA from 1 species
AUUGUCUUUUGUUUUUUGUUACACUUCAGUGUUUCUGUUGUUUUGUUAUUUUACUCUUAUAUUUGAUGUGUUUCCCUCAGGUUUGUUUGUGACCCGGAUUUGGUUUCUAUCAAUCGAUUUAUGACCUUCGAACAACGGUAAACUACUGUUGCCUUUACUUAUCAUCUUAAUAACGAGUGACAUUAUUCUCAGUUUAUUUGUCUUUCUAAAUUAUUAUUUUUACUGUUUAGUCUAUUUUUGGCAAUAUCCAUUUGACGUGGCUUUGUACGUAAUUGUGUUAUUUUGCUGUGGUAAAUUUUUGUAUUCUUGUCUUUCAUUUUAGCUAAUGUGCUUUGUCUGUAUGCCUUUUUGUUUUCUUCGUUGACAUAUUUGUUUGCUGUCAAAUUGAUUAGGAUCAUAACACACUGUUAACUGCUGUACCCUUUAUUUUGGGCAUUUUUACCUAUUAUGUCUGUUUGUUU